rnacentral:tRNA from 1 species
GCUCCCGUAGUGUAGUCCGGCCAAUCAUUCCGCCCUUUCGAGGCGAAGACCCGGGUUCGAAUCCCGGCGGGAGCACCA